UCAAGCCACCUGGUCAAUGAAAAAGGUUGAACAGUGCAUAAAUCAAUGAAAUCUGGUGUUUGGAGCAGGAGUUGAACCAGCGACCUUUGGACCACAGCAUUUCAGGAACUUCUUAAAGUCAUGUGCUCUACCAACUGAGCUAUGAAGGUGCUUAUAGACACAAACGCAGAAAACAUAGUGGCUUUGGCGACACACUUUGCCAAAACAACAAUCAAGCCACCUGGUCAAUGAAAAAGGAUGAACAGUGCAUAUACAAAUGACAACUGGAUGCUUGGAGCUGGAGUUGAACCAGCGACCUUUGGACCACAGCGUUUCAGGAACUUCUUAAAGUCAUGUGCUCUACCAACUGAGCUAUGAAGGUGCUUAUAGACACAAACGAAGAAAACAUAGUGGCUUCGGUGACACACUUUGCCAACAAUACAAUUGGACCCACAUGGUCAAUGAAAAAGGUUGAACAGUGCAUACACCAAUGAAAUCUGGUGUUUGGAGCUGGAGUUGAACCAGCGUCCUUUGGACCACAGCGUUUCAGGAACUUCUUAAAGUCAUGUGCUCUACCAACUGAGCUAUGAAGGUGCUUAUAGAUAAAAACGCAGAAAACAUAGUGGCUUCGGCGACACACUUUGCCAACAUAACUAUUGAACCAACAUGGUCAAUGAAAAAGGUUGAACAGUGCAUACACCAAUGAAAUCUGGUGUUUGGAGCUGGAGUUGAACCAGCGUCCUUUGGACCAAAGCGUUUAAGGAACUUCUUAAAGUCAUGUGCUCUACCAACUGAGCUAUGAAGGUGCUUAUAGAUAAAAACGCAGAAAACAUAGUGGCUUCGGCGACACACUUUGCCAACAAUACAAUUGGACCCACAUGGUCAAUGAAAAAGGUUGAACAGUGCAUACACCAAUGAAAUGUGGUGUUUGGAGCUGGAGUUGAACCAGCGUCCUUUGGACCACAGCGUUUAAGGAACUUCUUAAAGUCAUGUGCUCUACCAACUGAGCUAUGAAGGUGCUUAUAGAUAAAAACGCAGAAAACAUAGUGGCUUCGGCGACACACUUUGCUAACAUAACUAUUGAACCAACAUGGUCAAUGAAAAAGGUUGAACAGUGCAUAGACCAAUGAAAUGUGGUGUUUGGAGCAGGAGUUGAACCAGCGUCCUUUGGACCACAGCGUUUCAGGAACUUCUUAAAGUCAUGUGCUCUACCAACUGAGCUAUGAAGGUGCUUAUAGAUAAAAACGCAGAAAACAGUGGCUUCGGCGACACACUUUGCCAACAUAACUAUUGAACCAACAUGGUCAAUGAAAAAGGUUGAACAGUGCAUAUACAAAUGAAAUCUGGUGUUUGGAGCUGGAGUUGAAACAGCGACCUUUGGACCACAGCGUUUCAGGAACUUCUUAAAGUCAUGUGCUCUACCAACUGAGCUAUGAAGGUGCUUAUAGAUUAAAACGCAGAAAACAUAGUGGCUUCGGCGACACACUUUGCCAACAUAACUAUUGAACCAACAUGGUCAAUGAAAAAGGUUGAACAGUGCAUAUACAAAUGAAAUCUGGUGUUUGCAGCUGGAGUUGAACCAGCGACCUUUGGACCACAGCGUUUCAGGAACUUCUUAAAGUCAUGUGCUCUACCAACUGAGCUAUGAAGGUGCUUAUAGAUAAAAACGCAGAAAACAUAGUGGCUUCGGCGACACACUUUGCCAAAACAACAAUCAAGCCACCUGGUCAAUGAAAAAGGAUGAACAGUGCAUAUACAAAUGACAACUGGAUGCUUGGAGCUGGAGUUGAACCAGCGACCUUUGGACCACAGCGUUUCAGGAACUUCUUAAAGUCAUGUGCUCUACCAACUGAGCUAUGAAGGUGCUUAUAGAUAAAAACGCAGAAAACAUAGUGGCUUCGGCGACACACUUUGCCAACAAUACAAUUGGACCCACAUGGUCAAUGAAAAAGGUUGAACAGUGCUAAGACAAAUGAAAUCUGGUGUUUGGAGCUGGAGUUGAACCAGCGACCUUUGGACCACAGCGUUUCAGGAACUUCUUAAAGUCAUGUGCUCUACCAACUGAGCUAUGAAGGUGCUUAUAGAUAAAAACGCAGAAAACAUAGUGGCUUCGGCGACACACUUUGCCAAAACAACAAUCAAGCCACCUGGUCAAUGAAAAAGGAUGAACAGUGCAUAUACAAAUGAAAUCUGGUGCUUGGAGCUGGAGUUGAACCAGCGACCUUUGGACCACAGCGUUUCAGGAACUUCUUAAACACAUGUGCUCUACCAACUGAGCUAUGAAGGUGCUUAUAGAUAAAAACGCAGAAAACAUAGUGGCUUCGGCGACACACUUUGCCAAAACAACAAUCAAGCCACCUGGUCAAUGAAAAAGGAUGAACAGUGCAUAUACAAAUGAAAUCUGGUGCUUGGAGCUGGAGUUGAACCAGCGACCUUUGGACCACAGCGUUUCAGGAACUUCUUAAAGUCAUGUGCUCUACCAACUGAGCUAUGAAGGUGCUUAUAGAUAAAAACGCAGAAAACAUAGUGGCUUCGGCGACACACUUUGCCAAAACAACAAUCAAGCCACCUGGUCAAUGAAAAAGGAUGAACAGUGCAUAUACAAAUGAAAUCUGGUGCUUGGAGCUGGAGUUGAACCAGCGACCUUUGGACCACAGCGUUUCAGGAACCUCUUAAAGUCAUGUGCUCUACCAACUGAGCUAUGAAGGUGCUUAUAGAUAAAAACGCAGAAAACAUAGUGGCUUCGGCGACACACUUUGCCAACAUAACUAUUGAACCAACAUGGUCAAUGAAAAAGGUUGAACAGUGCAUAUACAAAUGAAAUCUGGUGUUUGGAGCUGGAGUUGAACCAGCGACCUUUGGACCACAGCGUUUCAGGAACUUCUUAAAGUCAUGUGCUCUACCAACUGAGCUAUGAAGGUGCUUAUAGAUAAAAACGCAGAAAACAUAGUGGCUUCGGCGACACACUUUGCCAAAACAACAAUCAAGCCACCUGGUCAAUGAAAAAGGAUGAACAGUGCAUAUACAAAUGACAACUGGAUGCUUGGAGCUGGAGUUGAACCAGCGACCUUUGGACCACAGCGUUUCAGGAACUUCUUAAAGUCAUGUGCUCUACCAACUGAGCUAUGAAGGUGCUUAUAGAUAAAAACGCAGAAAACAUAGUGGCUUCGGCGACACACUUUGCCAACAAUACAAUUGGACCCACAUGGUCAAUGAAAAAGGUUGAACAGUGCUAAGACAAAUGAAAUCUGGUGUUUGGAGCUGGAGUUGAACCAGCGACCUUUGGA